GACGAACGCUGGCGGCGUGCUUAACACAUGCAAGUCGAACGGAAAGGCCCUGCUUUUGUGGGGUGCUCGAGUGGCGAACGGGUGAGUAACACGUGAGUAACCUGCCCUUGACUUUGGGAUAACUUCAGGAAACUGGGGCUAAUACCGGAUAGGAGCUCCUGCUGCAUGGUGGGGGUUGGAAAGUUUCGGCGGUUGGGGAUGGACUCGCGGCUUAUCAGCUUGUUGGUGGGGUAGUGGCUUACCAAGGCUUUGACGGGUAGCCGGCCUGAGAGGGUGACCGGCCACAUUGGGACUGAGAUGCGGCCCAGACUCCUACGGGAGGCAGCAGUGGGGAAUAUUGCACAAUGGGCGGAGGCCUGAUGCAGCACCGCCGCGUGCGGGAUGACGGCCUUCGGGUUGUAAACCGCUUUCGCCUGUGACGAAGCGUGAGUGACGGUAAUGGGUAAAGAAGCUCCGGCUAACUACGUG
rnacentral:rRNA from 1 species